UCGGGGUACUCGAGUGGCGAACGGGUGAGUAACACGUGGGUGAUCUGCCCUGCACUUUGGGAUAAGCCUGGGAAACUGGGUCUAAUACCGAAUAGGACCACGCGCUUCAUGGUGUGUGGUGGAAAGCUUUUGCGGUGUGGGAUGGGCCCGCGGCCUAUCAGCUUGUUGGUGGGGUAAUGGCCUACCAAGGCGACGACGGGUAGCCGGCCUGAGAGGGUGACCGGCCACACUGGGACUGAGAUACGGCCCAGACUCCUACGGGAGGCAGCAGUGGGGAAUAUUGCACAAUGGGCGCAAGCCUGAUGCAGCGACGCCGCGUGAGGGAUGACGGCCUUCGGGGUUGUAAACCUCUUUCAAUAGGGACGAAGCGNGAGUGACGGUACCUAUAGAAGAAGCACCGGCCAACUACGUGCCAGCAGCCGCGGUAAUACGUAGGGUGCGAGCGUUGUCCGGAAUUACUGGGCGUAAAGAGCUCGUAGGUGGUUUGUCGCGUUGUUCGUGAAAACUCACAGCUUAACUGUGGGCGUGCGGGCGAUACGGGCAGACUAGAGUACUGCAGGGGAGACUGGAAUUCCUGGUGUAGCGGUGGAAUGCGCAGAUAUCAGGAGGAACACCGGUGGCGAAGGCGGGUCUCUGGGCAGUAACUGACGCUGAGGAGCGAAAGCGUGGGGAGCGAACAGGAUUAGAUACCCUGGUAGUCCACGCCGUAAACGGUGGGUACUAGGUGUGGGUUCCUUCCUUGGGAUCCGUGCCGUAGCUAACGCAUUAAGUACCCCGCCUGGGGAGUACGGCCGCAAGGCUAAAACUCAAAGGAAUUGACGGGGGCCCGCACAAGCGGCGGAGCAUGUGGAUUAAUUCGAUGCAACGCGAAGAACCUUACCUGGGUUUGACAUGCACAGGACGCCGGCAGAGAUGUCGGUUCCCUUGUGGCCUGUGUGCAGGUGGUGCAUGGCUGUCGUCAGCUCGUGUCGUGAGAUGUUGGGUUAAGUCCCGCAACGAGCGCAACCCUUGUCCUAUGUUGCCAGCGGGUUAUGCCGGGGACUCGUAGGAGACUGCCGGGGUCAACUCGGAGGAAGGUGGGGGAUGACGUCAAGUCAUCAUGCCCCUUAUGUCCAGGGCUUCACACAUGCUACAAUGGCCGGUACAAAGGGCUGCGAUGCCGUGAGGUGGAGCGAAUCCUUUCAAAGCCGGUCUCAGUUCGGAUCGGGGUCUGCAACUCGACCCCGUGAAGUCGGAGUCGCUAGUAAUCGCAGAUCAGCAACGCUGCGGUGAAUACGUUCCCGGGCCUUGUACACACCGCCCGUCACGUCAUGAAAGUCGGUAACACCCGAAGCCGGU
rnacentral:rRNA from 1 species